rnacentral:lncRNA from 1 species
CCGGCGGCGCGUUCCUGGCAGCGGCCCCUCCCCGCCGCGCGCUCCGCCCCCAACUUCUCAUUCACACUUUCCCCCCACCCCCCUCCCUUCUAAGAAGGCUGAUUUCUGGCAGAGGCGGGGGCGCCGCUUCGGGAGAGCGGGCAGUUCUAGGAGGCCGACCUGGAGAGCCUCCCGGUUCCCCUUCCCCUUUUCCCGGACCCCGCGGGGACACCCCCUCGCCGCCACCCGGGCCUCCCCGAGGGCCCAACUGCGGGUCAGGCGGCCCGGGCCAGCCGAAAGGGAAGUGGGGCUACCCCACAGCCAGGCAGCGGGGCUGGGGUCAGACCCGGGAGCCGGAGGUUGGAGACGUGCGACAGUCACCUGCGGGCAGAUUCCAGAGGGGAGACCCAGGGCUGCAGGGGACGCCCCUUCGUGGCAGCUACCCAGCCUCGGCCCACUGCCAGGUUCUUUGCCAACCCUGACGCGAGUGUGGAGCCCCCCUCCCCUCCCCUAUGAAAACGCUUUCAUGCACUGGGGUCUGCAAACCUGGUUGGUCCGGUGUGGGUUGGGCCAGGUGCUCUCGGCCGGGCUGGAGAGCUCGAGGUGGAACGAUGGCCCCAACCUACGGCCCGCGUCCGCCAGAGGGCGCCCUGGGGUCUCCUAGGGGAGGGCAGUUUGGUGCUGCGCGGCCCAGGCCUUGGAAUAGGCACGCCAGGGAUCUGCGGGAAUGGCUGUCUCCGGAGCUGGAAAGUGUUACGUGGCUGCAUGACCAUACACUUCUGGGUAGAGCCCAGUGGAAGACAAAGAAGACUCAAGGAAUAGCCCUUGAGGGCUCAGGAGCUAUACAGAUGGGAUAGAGGGUGUGAGUGCUGGGAAGCCCCAUCCAUGGCUCGCUGGAGAUUAGAGGCCUGUUAAUCUGAAGACAAAGGAAUGAAGACGAAAACGUUUCUGAAAAUGUGGGUGGAGACACCUGGGCCUUUACAGGGUACGCUCCAGAGCUGCUUCCAGGCAGGGACCCCGGCUGAGAGAAGCCAGAGCCAGAGAGUCGCAGGCUUGCUUGCUCUUAUCUUCCCUCUGCUGGGGGGGUCGAGGGGAGAUCUGGCCCCUCUGCUCUGCCCUCCUGAUUUCCCGUCUAAGGGAUUUAGGAGACUUUUGCCUUUUCCUAAUCUCUCCCUUUGCAGAAUUUCUGCGAAGUCACAAUCCCAUUUCCAGGCAAAGGUGCUUGGUCAUAAAGAUAAUAAAGAUAUUCAUUCAUGAUGGAGGGGAAGUACACAGUGGUUUCAGCUGCCUGUAGGGCUCCACUUACUCAUGGUGUGUGACAGAUGCUGAGCCCUUCCCCAAAUC